rnacentral:tRNA from 1 species
GGACGCAUAGCUCAGUGGCAGAGUGUGGGCUUAGCACGUCCAGCCUGCCUGACGUUCUGGGUUCAAUCUCCAGUACAUCCA